CCUACGGGUGGCAGCAGUGGGGAAUAUUGGACAAUGGGGGCAACCCUGAUCCAGCCAUGCCGCGUGUGUGAAGAAGGCCCUCGGGUUGUAAAGCACUUUCAGUGAGGAAGAACGCCUGGUGGUUAAUACCCAUCAGGAAAGACAUCACUCACAGAAGAAGCACCGGCUAACUCCGUGCCAGCAGCCGCGGUAAUACGGAGGGUGCGAGCGUUAAUCGGAAUUACUGGGCGUAAAGCGCGCGUAGGUGGCUUGAUAAGCCGGUUGUGAAAGCCCCGGGCUCAACCUGGGAACGGCAUCCGGAACUGUCAAGCUAGAGUGCAGGAGAGGAAGGUAGAAUUCCCGGUGUAGCGGUGAAAUGCGUAGAGAUCGGGAGGAAUACCAGUGGCGAAGGCGGCCUUCUGGACUGACACUGACACUGAGGUGCGAAAGCGUGGGUAGCAAACAGGAUUAGAUACUCGUGUAGUC
rnacentral:rRNA from 1 species